rnacentral:rRNA from 1 species
AGCAUAUGAAAUGCAUUAUAUGGUAAAGCCGCGAAUGGCUCGGUAUAACAGCCGCUGUUUAUUAGAUUUUAGUUAUCUACUUGGAUAACUGUGGCAAUUCUAGAGCUAAUACAUGCACGAAAGCUCGGACCUUCGGAAAGAGCGCAUUUAUUAGACCAAAACCAGUCGAGUUUCGGCUUGUUUGUUGGUGACUCUGAAUAACUAAGUUGAUCGCACAGUCUAGUACUGGCGACGUAUCUUUCAAAUGUCUGCCUUAUCAACUUUCGAUGGUAGGUUAUACGCCUACCAUGGUUAUAACGGGUAACGGAGAAUAAGGGUUCGACUCCGGAGAGGGAGCCUGAGAAAUGGCUACCACAUCCAAGGAAGGCAGCAGGCGCGCAAAUUACCCAAUCCCAGAAUGGGGAGGUAGUGACGAAAAAUAACGAGACGGUCCUCUUUGAGGCCUGUCAUCGGAAUGGGUACAAUUUAAAUCUUUUAACGAGGAUCUAUUAGAGGGCAAGUCUGGUGCCAGCAGCCGCGGUAAUUCCAGCUCUAAUAGCGUAUAUUAAAGUUGUUGUGGUUAAAACGCCCGUAGUUGGAUUUUCGGCCUUGAAGCUCGGUAGCUCGAAGGAGUUUAACUGGGUCUUCUAGCCUAAAUUUUAGUGGUCUCUUGAUGCUCUUUAUUGAGUGUCUUGAGUUGCUAGAACGUUUACUUUGAAAAAAUUAGAGUGCUAAAAGCAGGCUAUAUGCUUGAAUAAAGUGCAUGGAAUAAUGGAAUAGGACUUUAGUCUUAUUUUGCUGGUUUUCGAGAUUAAAGUAAUGAUUAAGAGGAACAGACGGGGGCAUUCGUAUUGUUGCGUUAGAGGUGAAAUUCUUGGAUCGCAGCAAGACGGACACUGGAGUUUUUCUCUAAAAAGAGGGGAAAGGGGGGG